GUUGUUUAAUAUUAUUGGGCUUCAUUUCAGAUGUUUUGUAAGGUCCAGAAGCCCGUGUGUGAAACCCUAAUCUGAUAGCGCGAGACACGUGUGUUCUUCUCUCCUCUGCGUUCGGCGGCCACAGUGACGCCUGAGCUUUCUUCACAAUUUCUGAAACGGUGUGCGUGAAUGUUGGAGUGAAAGCUCAUGGGCUAGCGAAGAAGAUUGGUUUCUUCCCGGCAGUUAGGGAGGAGACGGUGACUGUUUUAAGACCACCGUAGUGGGAUCGAGCUAGGAGAGAGUGGACUCAGGGAGUUUGAGAUGGUGGUUGAGGGAGAGAUUAGGAGAGAGGCCAUGUUUAUGGAGGUCGGGAAGAGGAAUGGUUUGACAGAAUAUGGUGUUACAUAUCCUGGUGUAACUGAGCAGUCGUGUCUUAUCCUUUGGUCUCCACAUACCGGCGAAAGAAAUCCGGAGACGUUAAACAAGUGCGUUGAGUCCAAACGUCGUCUAUAACACCAUCAUUAACAACAACUUCCCAGUCCUCUGAUGAUCUCUGCAUUUUUGGGAAGCAAAUAAUGUGAAUAAGGGUGGUGAUCUCAUGGCUGUUUAUAUUGCUUUGGUGGAUGAGAAGUUACAACAUGGUCAACUCUAGGACAAGAGAAACAAGAGCACAUGUGACUCCUUCUUGGCAUGUACUUUGAAUCAUUGCCACUUCUUAGGAUUUCUCACGCACACAUCAGAGAUAUUUUUGUGUUGCAAUUGGCAGAGGAAAACAAGCCUGCUAAAACAUAAGGUACUGUGAAUGUGUUUGCUACAAUCGUACUAUGGCAUUAUGUGUGGUCUGAAGCUGUUAUAACUAACUUCACAAGGGACCCGACAAGUAGCUUAUGAAACCACGAAGAGCUUCUACGGUUAAUGGGAUUGAUGAUACUGAUUCACAUAAUAAAUGGAGUUAUAGCUUUAAUUACAAUAAUGAUGAUGACACCAGGUGGAAGAAGGCAUAAAGCCAACUAUUGCUCCGAGAACGGUGAAGAACUUGAAAUGUUAUCUGUGUUUCUCUUCUUUUUUUUCUUCUUUUUUUUUCGUUUUUUUCUGGGAAAGGGCUUUAGUAUCUGUGUUUCGUUUUUUGGUGUUUAUUUCUUAUGACUCUUAUUUGAUGCCAAGUGUACGUAAUCGUAAUUGCUCUGUUGACAUAUACAUUUGUCUGAGUUCAUUCAUUCUUAUACAUUUUUAUGAGUUCAUUUACAACUAUUAUUUUACUAUACCUAUUUGAUAGUUUUAAAAAUAUGUAAAAUGUGUUUAUAUGUUACAAUGAUACCCAAAGCGAAGGUUUCUAUUUCAUCAAUUGAUUCCCUAGCGAUCGUUAUUUUUUGCCAUCAUAUUUUUAAUAGUUUUCAUAAAAACAAAUACUGUCAUUUACUUUUUUUGAAUUCCACUUAUGCUACAAAGUUCUACUGUCUGAGUAUCUGACAUAGAUAAUCAUCAAUUGGUUAACAUAAAACAAUUUCUAACGUAUUUUACUAUAUUUUAAAAGAAACAAUAAAAUUUAAAUUUACUUUAAUUCUUUUAUGUAAAAUAACAUUUCAUCAUAAAGUACGAAAACAUAUUAUGUUUAUAGAAGAAAAAAUAGUUCUUUUAGAAGAUAAUUAAUACAAUUGGGCUAAAGCAUAUAUAUAUAUCUCUAAAUAUUAUUAUAGAUAUAAAUAUAGAAAUGUCUUGAAGAUGUCGAAAACAACUUUUAUUUUAGUCAUAAACGAAUCUUACCGCUGAUAACCCAUACAUGCUCAUAUUUUAUUAUGAAAAUCAAAAUUUAUAUAAAAGUAAAUAAAUCAAGUAAAUAACAGAAAAUUACGAUGUUAAUUGGUGGUAACUGGUAAGUGUUGAUAUGUCAAAACCUAGAUUCUAUGUCAUGUUGUUGAAAUCAUAUAAGAGAUUAUAUUCCCAUUUAUUUGGUUGUAAAUAAUUUUCUAGCCUACAUAAAUAAAAUUAAAAAAAUUAUUAAAAUGAAUUUUUCUUUACAACAAUCUUUGACUAAUUAAAAAUAUACAGAUAUGUGCAUAAUAAAUACAUAGCUUACUCUAUAAAUAUGAUUAAAAUCUCUGCCACCCAUAUUUCAUGUUUUUUAAGAAAGUGUUAGUUGUUUUUUUUAAAAAAAAAAGUCCUCUCUGUUUAUAGAACAAAAAAUAUUUAAUUUAAUUCGAAUGGAACUUCGAUCUCUUCAAAGAAACCAAUUGGUCUCCAAAUCUUGACAAAAACAUCUUGGUAACUGAUCCCUAAUAAACAAAAAAAAACAUUUUCAAUCUCUCCCCCCCCCCCGCGCCCCUCAGAAUCUGAAAUCAUAUACUUAAGAGUCAAGACCAAGCAAAAAACGGUUCAGAGAUGUUGAUAUUUGUUCCUAACAAAUAAUAGCAGCUAAUUUUAACAAAACUGAAUAUCACCCAACAUUAAACUUAAGAAAUAAGACCGAUGAACACUAGGAACAAUAUUCCAACCCGGAACACCUAUUUUCAAUCCAAUUGGAUGGCUAAUGUUUGGAUUGCUAAUUUCUCACCAAAGUUGAGAUGUCCUUUCUGGAAAUUAUGCAAAGGCCUUACGGCUGACGAGAACUUCAAAAAGAGUCAUAUACAUUAGUUGUUAGAUACAAGUUAUUCAAAAGUGACAAUUCAGAUGAUGAUGCCAUAGAAGCAAAAAUUCAAAACAAAAAUUACUUACAAACAAACAACAACUUAAAUUAAUAAAAUAGUAUAUAUCAAUACUAACCAAAUGUUCAAUACGCGACAUUUCUAUAUUGAAAAAGAAUUGUUAUGAAACUAAUAUGAUCUUUAUUAUGCCACCAAGAAAGUGUCAUCCCAAUAAUCUGUAAAAUCAAUGCAGUGAUUGUUAUUAGUAUAAACAAAUGGAAAAGUUCUUGGAGUUGGUUUUACGGUGAGUAACAAGUAACUACACUCAUUAACCACUACUCAGUUCUUAUAUUUUCUGGUUUCAAUGUUUUCUUAUUUUGAUUAGCUUUGCUUUACUACCUUCUUCGCAUUCAAUUAACACUAUACUUUUAAUAAGAAAUGCAACUCCAAAUAAUCACCACUCCACUCCAAUAGCAUGUCGAAAGACUAUGAUUUCAACGUAAAAUAUAAUUACUCUUAUAACAUACACAAAAAGUUACCACACUCCAAUCUUUCCGAACCUAAAAUAUUACGAACUACAAUUAACGCACCGAAUAUGUGAUCAAAUUUUUGUUAAAAAAAAUAACAUGAAGACCAUUUGGAGCCCCUACUGCAUAUUAAUGCCACAUCUCCUUAAUAUAGAAACUAUUAUUAUUAUUUUGACAAACAACUAUAGUAUACAAGAAAAAUACUAUAUUUUAUCAUGUAAUUCUUCUUCACCCGAAAUUUUCUAAAAGACAAAUAUCAUUAUCAUACACAUCUUUUGAAAUGCACACAUAAAACGCAAACCACAAAAUCAUACAAAAAAAUAAUAAUCUAAAUCACGAGUAAAAUAUAUCUCGCCCGUAGGGCGGGCCGAUUCUAGUUACUUAUAUAUAUCUUCAUUGUCUACUGCAUUUGUUCUUAUUCUUUCUUCUGUGAUUUUCAGUCCGAAGUAUUUGUCGUUGCCUUUGCUACUUGCAGCUGGAGCAGUGAUCCUCACACUAAAUGUAUCUUCUCCAAGGCGGUCUAUCUGCGGCCAUAAAAAGUUAGCAUUCUCUGACACAAUCCUCUGAAUUCGCUUAUGGGAGAUGCUUUUGAAUUCAAUUUUUUUUGUUGAUUUUCACUCCUUUUGUUUAUGUAUUGCAGUCAGCCCUCAUUCAAGCCACUGUGUACAAUCAUCUUAUCAACGCGGGUUCAAUAUAUUCCAUAAGCGGUUUUGAUGUGACUCAGAGCAAUAUGAACGACUCUCCUCUAUCGAUUUGACUCAACCGUCGAAUUGCGUCUCCACCGCCGAAGUGUGUGUCAUCAGAUUCUUGGAGGCUCUCCCUCUGUCUGUGAUCAUCUCUCUACCAGCUAUAUGAUUGUCCAUUGUAAUCUGUUUCUGUUUGAAGUUUGUCUUUGAACUUUGAUUUUUUUAUGCAGAUAAAAAAUGGGGAGAGGUGGCAUGAAAGAUAUGUUUGGAUGAUGUUGAGGUCAAGCUUGGAGAGCUAGAAGCUGAACUUUUUGUAAUCAAGGCUAUUAAUGACAAUCUGUGGCACCCUUACAAUGAACUUGUGGAGUUUAGGUAUCCUCGCAACUGUUCUUAUACAGGUAAAUCUGCAUCUUGGUUUAGGUCUCAGAUAAAUCGUUUCUUGGAAGUUUCAGGGGUCAUAUAGAGAGUGGAAGAGACCCUGAGAACUACUUGAAGUAUUCGGUUCAAGAUAUCGAGAGAAUCGUUCUUGAUUUCUUUGAAGAAUAUUCACACGUCACACCCGCCAAACUUGAGGAUACGAUGAAGAAGAAGAUUGGAGAGGUUACUUUCUCUCUUUUGUUUUGUUUUAUUUUUAUUUCUUGGUUCCCCAGCCAUGUUGGUAUGUUGUAGGAUAGAUCCAUUCUUUGAAUUUUUAAUCACGAGUUGGUGUUUUUACGCACCGUACCUAUUGUAUAAUCUCCCGUUUGUAUCAUCACAUCUCAGGUAGGAAACAAAGAUUCAGUAGUGCAGAUCAAUUGCGUUGGAGACAUGAGCGUUAAAAGUUUGCUGAAAGAUGGGUUCGUGUUCGAACAUGACUUCUUACAAGUUGUAGCUGCUGUCCACAUAGGAUGGAUACUGCUCUUUGUCUUUAUUUGUGGUAUCAAGUCCCUCAACUUUUAAAAGAAGGAAAAUAGAACCUUUGUACCAUAGUCUUUGAAAAUUGUCGUAUAUUUGUAAUUUUUCUUUUAUUAUUAUAUAUUGUUUCUAUUUGGUUAGUAACAACAACAAUAAUAGCCGUUUACGUUCACAAUAUUAUACUUUCGAUAGGAAAUAAUAUCUUCUCUUUCAAAACUAUGUAUUAUGCAUUAUUGGUAUUUAUAUGAAAGUUAUACCUUUUCAUACAACAUGAGCACAUCAUCAAUUUAGGUUUGACAUUUGUAUUAAUCUAUCUUUUUUUAACAAAAUGUUUAAAAAGGUCAAAUACUUCAUAAAUUAUCUUUUAUAAUUGAUUCAUUUUCAAUUAAAUAAAUUUAUUGACAUCAAUAUGUUAAAUAUAACAUUUUUUUACAGAAUUCAAGUAAUAAAAUGCAAAAUACAUAAAUUUCAAAAACAGAUAGAAAUUUCUUAUAAGAACAAAACAAAAUCUAUGUUUCUGUACAUUUCAUGGAAUUUAAAUUUUAUUUUCUGGUCAUAAAACUCAAACAUAGAAAAAUUAACAAAAAAUGAUAUAAAACAACCAAAAAAAUAUUACAGAUAUAACUUAAUAAUACAUAAAUUAUAAAAAUAAUUAUAAAGUUCUGCUGAAAAUC